CACGGAGGGUGCAAGCGUUAUUCGGAAUUAUUGGGCGUAAAGGGCGCGUAGGCGGCCGAUCAGGUCAGGUGUGAAAGCCCGGGGCUUAACCCCGGAAGUGCAUUUGAAACCGGUUGGCUUGAGUAUGGGAGAGGAGAGCGGAAUUCCUGGUGUAGAGGUGAAAUUCGUAGAUAUCAGGAGGAACACCGGUGGCGAAGGCGGCUCUCUGGACCAAUACUGACGCUGAGGCGCGAAGGCGUGGGUAGCAAACAGGAUUAGAUACCCUGGUAGUCCACGCAGUAAACGUUGUUCACUAGGUGUAGUGGGUAUUGACCCCUACUGUGCCGCAGCUAACGCAUUAAGUGAACCGCCUGGGAAGUACGGUCGCAAGAUUAAA
rnacentral:rRNA from 1 species